GCAGAGAAGUGCAAGCUAGAAUCACCAUGUGAUUUACAUCUAAAUGACACGUUUUAUUUAGGGAUACGAAACAGCCUGAAAUUAUCAGGAGCAUAUAGAAAACACGGUACAACAGGUAAAGAACUCCAGACACCUCAGUGGGUGUUCUCUGACUGAAAAUGACCCAGUAAGGAAGAAACACCAUAAAAGUCCUUCCUCUUCAUUCUACAUGAUGUCAAGACUACAAUACAAGAAAAGGGGGAACUCUGCCUAGAGUUAAGCAGACUUGCUGCUGAAGAUAUCCUCACUUUGAGAAUCAGGAAGUGUGAGACCAUUACAGGAAAAAGGAACAUUUUGAAGUGAAUCAGACGUUCAUUGGAAAAGACCCACCUCUGAAGAUACAGUGAAGAAUCCUGGGAACCAAGCCAGCUGAGAAAAGUCACAAAACCAAAAAGUGUACUGCCCGUUCUCGUCAAAUGUCUCCCAAUUACACCUCGAAAAGGGAA